AUGUGGUGCAGCGAGGUUUUGUCCUUUCCAGUAUUUUUCCUGACCCUGCUGGUGUCAGUUCCACCUCAGAGCCUCUCUCCCUCUCCCCUUCUCUGUUCCCCUUCAGGAACCAGGACAUUCUGGGAAACUCCUCAGUGUGAUUUGCACCACACUUGUGUCACAGCUGGCUUGGACCCUUUGGAACUGGAAAUGAGGCUUGUUUCAGGCAGUGGCUCUAAAAAUCAUUCUGAGGACCACGUGCAGCCCAGGCCCAGCUCUGACUCAGGUGGUGAAGGCACAGCACCAUUUUUCCUUUUGUGGCAAGAAGGUCUCUGAAAAGACGAGUAUCAAGUGAAAUGAAGCGUUUGAUGUGCAAGAGGAGUUUGCAGCUGAUCCACAACGUGAUACCUGCAUGUUUUCAGAAGUUGUUUGGACUUUCCUCUGUGGUUCCUUAUCAAAUUCAUGGCAGAGUGAAUGUGGUAAAACUCAGGCCUUUGCUUUCUGCACCUUGAAAAGGUAAAUAAAUCCUUUGGCUUGAAUCACGAGUGGUUUUGCCUCAUUAAGGACAUAUUUUAUUCAAAAAGAGUAUAUUUUAAUCAGAAAGCAAUUGAUGUGCACUCAGGAUCCAGGUCAUUAUUGGUGCAAGAAGGUGAAAUUUGAUGGGAGACUGGAGCUUUUGACAGUAAAAAAGCAGCUUUUUACAUCACCACGUUAUAGUCCAAAAAUAUAUCUAUUUAUCACACUACUUUUCUAAGUUUUGUAAAUAGCAGAACUCAAAGAAACUCUCUUCAUACAGCACAGUCUUCCAACAUUCCACAUCCAGCAUUCAUUUGAAUAUUUGCAUAAAGCCAGUAAUAUAACGUGUAGUUAUAGCAGCAGGAUAACAACAGUUACAACAACAGCAGUUAUAAAAACAGCUGACUCAGGCUGCUUGCAGCCUGGCCCUCCAACUUCAUUUACACUCACAUUUAUAUUUUACUCUAAAUUACAUUUACACUUACACGUGCAGUCACAUUUACACUUACAUUUAUACUUGCACUUACAUUUUUACAUUUACACUUGCACUUUACUUAAAAUUACAUUUACACUUACAUUUACACUUACAUUUCCAUUUUAAUUAAAAUUACAUUUACAUUUAUACUUUCACUUACAUUUUUACACUUACAUUUACAUUUACACUUACUUACAUUUACACUUACACUUUUUACACUUACUUACAUUUACAUUUACACUUGCACUUACAUUUUAGUUACAUUUAAAGUUACAUUUACACUUACAUUUACACUUACUUACAAUUCCAUGUAAUUACUUACAAUUACACUUUUUACACUUACAUUUACGCUUACACUUUUUACACUUACAUUUACACUUACAUUUAUACUUACAUUUACACUUACACUUACAUUUACACUUA
rnacentral:lncRNA from 1 species